rnacentral:siRNA from 1 species
UGUCCAGAAAUCGUUGUCUACAAA